UACGUAGGCAGCAAGCGUUGUUCGGAAUUACUGGGCGUAAAGAGUGUGUAGGCGGUGCUCCAAGUCUGGCGUGAAAUCUCCCGGCUUAACUGGGAGGGUGCAUUAGAAACUGGAAUGCUAGAGGAUGGGAGAGGUAAGCGGAAUUCCUGGUGUAGCGGUGAAAUGCGUAGAUAUCAGGAGGAACACCUGUGGUGUAGACAGCUUACUGGACCAUUUCUGACGCUGAGACACGAAAGCGUGGGUAGCAAACAGG
rnacentral:rRNA from 1 species